rnacentral:rRNA from 1 species
AGUGAACGCUGGCGGUAGGCCUAACACAUGCAAGUCGAACGGCAGCACAGUAAGAGCUUGCUCUUACGGGUGGCGAGUGGCGGACGGGUGAGGAAUACAUCGGAAUCUACUUUUUCGUGUGGGUUAACGUAGGGAAACUUACGCUAAUACCGCAGACGACCUACGGUUGAAAGCAGUGGAUCUUCGGGCCUUUCGCGAUUGAAUGAGCCGAUGUCGGAUUGGCUGGUUGGCGGGGUAAAUGCCCACCAAGGCGACGAUCGGUAGCUGGUCGGAGAGGAUGAUCGGCCACAUUGGAAGUGAGACACGGUCCAGACUACUACGGGAGGCAGCAGUGGGGAAUAUUGGACAAUGGGGGGAAGCCUGAUCCAGCCAUCGCGCGUGGGUGAAGAAGGCCUUCGGGUUGUAAAGCCGUUUUGUUGGGAAAGAAAAGCAGCAGGUUAAUACCACGCUGUUCUGACGGUACCGAAAGAAUAAGCACCGGCUAACUUCGUG